GACGAACGCUGGCGGCGUGCCUAAUACAUGCAAGUAGAACGCACAGUUUAUACCGUAGCUUGCUACACCAUAGACUGUGAGUUGCGAACGGGUGAGUAACGCGUAGGUAACCUGCCUGGUAGCGGGGGAUAACUAUUGGAAACGAUAGCUAAUACCGCAUAAUAUUGAUUAUUGCAUGAUAAUUGAUUGAAAGAUGCUAUUGCAUCACUACCAGAUGGACCUGCGUUGUAUUAGCUAGUAGGUGAGGUAACGGCUCACCUAGGCGACGAUACAUAGCCGACCUGAGAGGGUGAUCGGCCACACUGGGACUGAGACACGGCCCAGACUCCUACGGGAGGCAGCAGUAGGGAAUCUUCGGCAAUGGACGAAAGUCUGACCGAGCAACGCCGCGUGAGUGAAGAAGGUUUUCGGAUCGUAAAGCUCUGUUGUAAGAGAAGAACGGGUGUGGGAGUGGAAAGUUCACACUGUGACGGUAUCUUACCAGAAAGGGACGGCUAACUACGUG
rnacentral:rRNA from 1 species